GGUACUGUAGCCAAGUGGUUACGGCGUUACGUUUAGGUCUUCUAGAUCUCAAUCCGUAAUGGGGCGACCCUCGCGAGUUCGAAUCUCGUCAGUGCCA
rfam:Peniophora sp. CONT PENSPscaffold_212_Cont305, whole genome shotgun sequence.